UACGUAGGGCGCGAGCGUUGUCCGGAAUUAUUGGGCGUAAAGAGCUCGUAGGCGGCCUGUUGCGUCCGCUGUGAAAUCCCGGGGCUUAACCCCGGGCGUGCAGUGGAUACGGGCUGGCUAGAGUUCGGUAGGGGAGACUGGAAUUCCUGGUGUAGCGGUGAAAUGCGCAGAUAUCAGGAGGAACACCGGUGGCGAAGGCGGGUCUCUGGGCCGAUAUUGACGCUGAGGAGCGAAAGCGUGGGGAGCGAACAGG
rnacentral:rRNA from 1 species